UACCUUAUAAGAGAGAGAGAGAGAGAAAUAUUGUAGAAGAGAGAGCGAGAGAAAUAGUAUAGAAGAGAGAGAGGGGGACACAGACAGUAGAAAAGAGAGUGAGACAAAUAGUGGAAAAGAGAGAGAGAUAAAUACAAUGGAAAAGAGAGAGAGAGACACAGAUAGUGGAGAAGAGAGAGAGAGAAAUAGACCGUGGAAGAGAGAGAGACAGAGAGAGACAUAUAGAGAUUCAGAGAGAGAGAGAGAGAAAUAGGCAGUGGAGAAGAGAGAGAGAGACAGACAGUGGAGAAGAGAGAGAGAAAUAGUGGAGAAGAGAGAGAGAAAUAGUGGAGACGAGAGAAAGAGAGAAAUAGUGGAGACGAGAGAAAGAGAGAAAUAGUGGAGAAGAGAGAGAGAGAGAGAAAUAGUGGAGAAGAGAGAGAGAGAGAAAUAGACAGUGGAGGAAAGAGAGAGACACAGUGGAGAAGAGUGAAAGAGAGAAAUAGACAGUGGAGAAGAGUGAGAGAGAGAGAGAAUAUACAGUGGCGAAGAGAGAGAGCGGGACAGGCAAUGGAGAAUAGAGAGAGAGAAAUAGAUAGUAGAAGAGAGAGAGAGAGGGAGACAUACAGUGGAGAAAAGUGAGAGAGAGAAAGAAAAAACCGUGGAGAAGAAAGGGAGGGAGAGAGAGAGAAAUAGACAGUGGAGAAGAGAGACAGAGAGAAAUAGAAAGAGGAGAAGAGAGAGAGAAAUAGACAGGAGAAGAGAGAGAGCAAUAGACAUUAGAAUAGAUAGAGAGUGAGACCGUGGUGAAUGGAGAGACAGAAAUAGACAGUGGAGGAGAAAGAGACACAUACAAUGGAGAAUAUUGAGAGAGAGAGAAAUAGACAGUGUUAAAGAGAAAUGAGACACAGUUCAAAAGAGAGAGACAGACUCAUAAAGUAGAAAAGAGAGAGAGAGACACACACAGACAAUGGAAAAGAGAGAGAGAGACACAGACACUGGAUAAGAGAGCGAGAGAAAUAGACAGUGGAGAAGAGAGAGAUUGACACAGACAGUGGAAAUGAGAGCGAGAGACACAGACAGUGAAGAAGAGAGAGACACAGACAGUGGGAAAGAGAGUGAGACAAAUAGUGAAGUGAGAGAGAGAUGAAGACAACGGAAAAGAGAGAGAGACACAGAUAGUGGAGAAGAGAAAGAGAAAAAUAGUGGAGAAGAGAGAGAGAAUUAGAUAGUGGAGAAGAGAGAGAUUGACAUAGAUAGUGGAGAAGAGAGAGAAAGCGAGAUACAGACAGUGGAAAUGAGAGAGAGAGAGAAAUAGUAUAGA
rnacentral:lncRNA from 1 species